AGAGUUUGAUCCUGGCUCAGGAUGAACGCUGGCGGCGUGCCUAACACAUGCAAGUCGAACGAAGCACCUUUUCAGAUUCUUCGGAUGAUUGAUUGGUGACUGAGUGGCGGACGGGUGAGUAACGCGUGGGUAACCUGCCCUGUACAGGGGGAUAACAGCUGGAAACGGCUGCUAAUACCGCAUAAGCGCACGAGGAGACAUCUCCUUGUGUGAAAAACUCCGGUGGUACAGGAUGGGCCCGCGUCUGAUUAGCUGGUUGGCAGGGUAACGGCCUACCAAGGCAACGAUCAGUAGCCGGUCUGAGAGGAUGAACGGCCACAUUGGAACUGAGACACGGUCCAAACUCCUACGGGAGGCAGCAGUGGGGAAUAUUGCACAAUGGGGGAAACCCUGAUGCAGCGACGCCGCGUGAGUGAAGAAGUAUUUCGGUAUGUAAAGCUCUAUCAGCAGGGAAGAUAAUGACGGUACCUGACUAAGAAGCUCCGGCUAAAUACGUGCCAGCAGCCGCGGUAAUACGUAUGGAGCAAGCGUUAUCCGGAUUUACUGGGUGUAAAGGGUGCGUAGGUGGCAGUGCAAGUCAGAUGUGAAAGGCCGGGGCUCAACCCCGGAGCUGCAUUUGAAACUGCUCGGCUAGAGUACAGGAGAGGCAGGCGGAAUUCCUAGUGUAGCGGUGAAAUGCGUAGAUAUUAGGAGGAACACCAGUGGCGAAGGCGGCUUACUGGACGGUAACUGACGUUGAGGCUCGAAAGCGUGGGGAGCAAACAGGAUUAGAUACCCUGGUAGUCCACGCCGUAAACG
rnacentral:rRNA from 1 species